CGCCUCUUGAUUACCAUAAGAGGUCUAGCCUGCCCAGUGACCAAUUUAACGGCCGCGGUACCCUAACCGUGCAAAGGUAGCAUAAUCACUUGUUUCUUAAAUGGGGACUAGUAUCAAUGGCAUCACGAAGACUACACUGUCUCCCCUUUAAAAUCAAUGAAACUGAUCCCCUCGUGAAGAAGCGAGGAUAUAAAUAUAAGACGAGAAGACCCCAUGGAGCUUUAAACGAACUUCAAUUGCUCCCCUCCUUACCAUAUAAGUUGAGCACUAAUGAUAGGUAGUUUUCGGUUGGGGCGACCGCGGAGUAAAACAAAACCUCCACAAUGAAUGUAAUAAAUACUAAUAAAAGAACCACAAUUCUAAUAAUCAAAAAUUUGACAUAAAUUGACCCAAACACUUGAUCAAUGAACCAAGUUACCCUGGGGAUAACAGCGCAAUCCAUUUUAAGAGCCCUUAUCGACAAAUGGGUUUACGACCUCGAUGUUGGAUCAGGGUAUCCCAGUGGUGCAGCCGCUACUAAUGGUUCGUUUGUUCAACGAUUAAAACCCU
rnacentral:rRNA from 1 species